rnacentral:rRNA from 1 species
UACAGAGGUCUCAAGCGUUGUUCGGAUUCAUUGGGCGUAAAGGGUGCGUAGGUGGCGCCGUUAGUCAGGUGUGAAAUUUCGGAGCUUAACUCCGAAACUGCAUUUGAUACUGCGGUGCUUGAGGACUGGAGAGGAGACUGGAAUUUACGGUGUAGCAGUGAAAUGCGUAGAUAUCGGGAGGAACACCAGUGGCGAAGGCGGUUACCUGGGCUUGUUCUGACGCUGAGGCACAAAAGCUGGGGGAGCAAACGGG